GCUGUUGGACAUGUGAAAUGUGGCUGCUGUAGCUAAGGAUGCGAUUCAGGAUACCUGGAGAUUGCCUUGGGGGACCUGUCACCAACGUCCACCGACUGCCAGCUAAAGUCACUAAUCUCAGCUGGAAUGGAGACACAGUCAUCAGCUUCUGAGUGUCUGUUCAUUGGCCCAGCAGUUCCUGUAUGAAGUACGUGCCUGACAACAGACUUUUGGAAAAGGAAACCUUUGUAUGUGAAAAUCAUGCACACAUCUGUAGAAUAUCUAACUUCUGGCAUAUUCUA